rnacentral:rRNA from 1 species
AGAGUUUGAUCCUGGCUCAGGAUGAACGCUGGCGGCGUGCCUAAUACAUGCAAGUCGAACGCACAGCGAAAGGUGCUUGCACCUUUCAAGUGAGUGGCGAACGGGUGAGUAACACGUGGAUAACCUACCUCAAGGUUGGGGAUAACAUUUGGAAACAGAUGCUAAUACCGAAUAAAACUUCGUAUCGCAUGAUACAAGGUUAAAAGGCGCUACGGCGUCACCUAGAGAUGGAUCCGCGGUGCAUUAGUUAGUUGGUGGGGUAAAGGCCUACCAAGACAAUGAUGCAUAGCCGAGUUGAGAGACUGAUCGGCCACAUUGGGACUGAGACACGGCCCAAACUCCUACGGGAGGCUGCAGUAGGGAAUCUUCCACAAUGGGCGAAAGCCUGAUGGAGCAACGCCGCGUGUGUGAUGAAGGCUUUCGGGUCGUAAAGCACUGUUGUAUGGGAAGAACAGCUAGAGUAGGGAAUGACUUUAGUUUGACGGUACCAUACCAGAAAGGGACGGCUAAAUACGUGCCAGCAGCCGCGGUAAUACGUAUGUCCCGAGCGUUAUCCGGAUUUAUUGGGCGUAAAGCGAGCGCAGACGGUUGAUUAAGUCUGAUGUGAAAGCCCGGAGCUCAACUCCGGAAAGGCAUUGGAAACUGGUCAACUUGAGUGCAGUAGAGGUAAGUGGAACUCCAUGUGUAGCGGUGGAAUGCGUAGAUAUAUGGAAGAACACCAGCGGCGAAGGCGGCUUACUGGACUGUAACUGACGUUGAGGCUCGAAAGUGUGGGUAGCAAACAGGAUUAGAUACCCUGGUAGUCCACACCGUAAACGA